AAUGCAGCAUCUCACUUUCAACGGCUAAACAACGUCUCGACAUCGACGUUAAAAUUUUUACUAUUGACAAGAAAACUGAAGUCUCUACUUAUUAUAUUUAAAUAACUUCGCCUCAAAUAAUCUUAAUAAGUCAUCAAGUGAAGUGUUUGCUUCCCAAAGAAGAGACUCAAGAAGGAAUCCAUGCUCAGCAGCAGACGGACUUUAACCCCUGCUGGCCUGCUGUUGAGCCACUGGAGCCCUGCAGGAGGCCCUGGCUCAGACUCUGUGGAACCAAAGGUCACCAGCCAAUCUGGCCCCAGAUUUCACUACAUGACCCAAGCUGCUGGCUUGUGGAAAAGUGUGAUAUACUUGAGAUGGGUCAGUUUUGUUUUAAUAGCUUAUUCUGUGAUUUGCCCUGCUUGUGUUAAAAUGUCUGUAAUGUUCUCUUAAUCGCUGUAAAAUUAGCAGGGCUUCUUUUGACAAAAAAACAUAACUGAAUGUAUAACUGGAAUGUAUUAAAGUGGUAAUCUCUAAGAUUCAGCUGUUACUUGUUAUUAUUUUCUGGUGCCAAUCAGUAAUUGUUAUGGUGUAUUUGUACUUCACUUCCCAGAGAUGACUUAGAAGUCAAACAACAUGGGCAGCAUCUGUUAUCAAUUUUCAAAUAUUUGAGGUUCAAAAUGUGGGGCUCUCUGUUCAGUGAUGGUGUCUGUUGAUGCCUGUAACUAAUUAAGGUCUGUGAUCAUCACUGAUAAUGUAAUUUGAAAUGA